CCAGACUCCUACGGGAGGCAGCAGUGGGGAAUAUUGCACAAUGGGGGAAACCCUGAUGCAGCGACGCCGCGUGGGUGACGAAGUAUUUCGGUAUGUAAAGCCCUAUCAGCAGGGAAGAAGAUGACAGUACCUGACUAAGAAGCCCCGGCUAACUACGUGCCAGCAGCCGCGGUAAUACGUAGGGGGCAAGCGUUAUCCGGAUUUACUGGGUGUAAAGGGAGCGUAGGUGGCAUGGCAAGCCAGAAGUGAAAACCCGGGGCUUAACCCCGCGGAUUGCUUUUGGAACUGUCAGGCUGGAGUGCAGGAGGGGCAGGCGGAAUUCCUGGUGUAGCGGUGAAAUGCGUAGAUAUCAGGAGGAAUACCGUUAGCGAAGGCGGCAAUCUGGCUGGAAACUGACGCUGAGGUGCGAAAGCGUGGGUAGCAAACAGGAUUAGAUACCCUGGUA
rnacentral:rRNA from 1 species